rnacentral:rRNA from 1 species
UACGGAGGGUGCAAGCGUUUAUCCGGAUUCACUGGGUUUAAAGGGUGCGUAGGUGGGCAGGUAAGUCAGUGGUGAAAUCUCCGGGCUUAACCCGGAACUGCCGUUGAUACUAUCUGUCUUGAAUGUAGUGGAGGUGAGCGGAAUAUGUCAUGUAGCGGUGAAAUGCUUAGAUAUGACAUAGAACACCCCAUUGCGAAGGCAGCUCGCUACACUAUUAUUGACACU